rnacentral:rRNA from 1 species
GAUGAACGCUGGCGGCGUGCCUAAUACAUGCAAGUCGAGCGAACGGACGAGAAGCUUGCUUCUCUGAUGUUAGCGGCGGACGGGUGAGUAACACGUGGAUAACCUACCUAUAAGACUGGGAUAACUUCGGGAAACCGGAGCUAAUACCGGAUAAUAUUUUGAACCGCAUGGUUCAAAAGUGAAAGACGGUCUUGCUGUCACUUAUAGAUGGAUCCGCGCUGCAUUAGCUAGUUGGUAAGGUAACGGCUUACCAAGGCAACGAUGCAUAGCCGACCUGAGAGGGUGAUCGGCCAAACUGGAAAUGAGACACGGUCCAGAAUCCCACGGGAGGCAGGAGGAGGGAAUCUUCCGGAAUGGCGAAAGCCUGACGGAGCAACGCCGCGUGAGUGAUGAAGGUCUUCGGAUCGUAAAACUCUGUUAUUAGGGAAGAACAUAUGUGUAAGUAACUGUGCACAUCUUGACGGUACCUAAUCAGAAAGCCACGGCUAACUACGUG